UACGUAGGGGGCAAGCGUUGUCCGGAUUUAUUGGGCGUAAAGAGCGUGUAGGCGGCUAGAUAGGACCGUUGUGAAAACUCAAGGCUCAACCUCGAGACGUCGAUGGAAACCAUCUGGCUAGAGUCCGGAAGAGGAGAGUGGAAUUCCUGGUGUAGCGGUGAAAUGCGCAGAUAUCAGGAAGAACACCCGUGGCGAAGGCGGCUCUCUGGGCCAAAACUGACGCUGAGGAGCGAAAGCGUGGGGAGCGAACAGG
rnacentral:rRNA from 1 species